rnacentral:lncRNA from 1 species
GGGUGGGGGCGCUGGGGGCACAUCAAGAGAUCACUCAGCCAGACACAACGGGGGGGGGGGCAGAAACUGCUUUUUUCCCAUGGGGAGGCACCGUGACAAACUCAAGCUGGAGACCUUCGUGGAACUGGGGGAAAGCUUAGUAAAUCAGUAGACACAGGAUCCGCCCUCCCGCAACUGUCAGAAAAUGCACGCAAUCCCAACCCAGCCUCCAGCCUCAGGCCAAAGUUAAAAUGGGCAGAAAAACACGCCUUUCUCUCCAUUGCUAAAUCAGUGGUUCCCAAAGUAGGAGGUAGUGCCCCUCUGGGAAGGACGCGGGUGGCACUGUGGUCUAAACCACGGAGCCUCUUGGGCUUGCCGAUCGGAAGGUCGGCGGUUCGAAUCCCCGUGACGGGGUGAGCUCCCAUUGCUCUGUCUCAGCUCCAGCCAACCUAGCCGUUCAAAAGCAUGCCAGUGCAAGUAGAUAAAUAGGUACCGCUGUGGCGGGAAGGGAAACUGCGUUUCUGUGCGCUCUGGCUUCUGUCACAGUGUCCUGUUGCACCAGAAGCGGCUUAGUCCUGCUGGCCACAUGACCCGGAAAGCUGUCUGUGGACAAACGUUGGCUCCCUUGGCCUGAAAAGCGAAAUGAGUGCCGCAACCCCAUAGUCACCUUUGACUGGACUUAACCAUCCAGGGGUCCUUUACCUGUUUUCUGGGAGGUGCUAAGAGGCAAAGGCAGCAGGCUGGCACUAGAAGUGUAAGUCUGUCAGACUUUGAGAAGAGAUCAAGUUCAUGAACUGUGUCAAAUUAAUUAGACUAAAUUAACUGGAUUUUGAACAAAUGUGCAACUAACUGCGGCUGCUUGGAAUUUUAUGGUGUUCCUCUGUUGUGUUGUGGGUUUGUGCUGGCUGCUAUUCUGAAUGGCACUUUUUGUAUGGCAGAGGGAUGAGUUUAGGGCACCAAGGGGAAAGUGGCCUGGAAAGGUUCGAAAACAACUGUCCCAAAUGAGCUUGGAGCAUCAUGCGGAGAAGAGAGGGUCAGGAUCCUUUGUUAUCUGGCAGAGGAGGUGUUGGACCUGAUCCCAAGAGAGCUGCUCUUAACUCCCUGGUCAGCCAUAUGCCUCUUGGGUUGCCAGCGGUGCAGAGGCCAAAAUGAGGCAGGGAGAGAGAUGGAUGGAUCCCUUGGCUUAAGAGUAGGGAGUGUGUGACUGGGAUUGCGUCAUGCUCCAAGCGUAUCCCUGCUCCGUCAUUGGUGUGAUGGCCUGGGACUUGGGCUCAGACUCAGAACCAGAGGAGUCUCAGUCUGCACCGGAUCCUCUGCCUCAGGCGGCAUCUGGACCAAGUCUGGGGCCUGAUUCUGAAGAGCCCCAGUCUGCACAGGUUCCCCUGCAACAAGCACCAGCUGGGCCAAGUCAGGGGCCUGAGCCUGCCCUGGCUCCAGAUGCGGGGAUGACCUCGUUGCCCCCAGCUGGGCCAUCACUUACAGCUGCUCCGCUACUGGUUGGGUCAGGGGCGGCUGAGGCGGCCCCUGGGUCUAGUCACCCACUGACGUCUCCCGAGCUGCAGAGACUCAGGUCUGAGAAAAGGAGAGACCUGAGUACUUGCAGGAGGAGUGCUCGCCUUCGGGCGAGACAGGGAGGUGAGUCACCGGGGGAUUAGGACCGGCUGUUACCCCGACAGAGAUAAAAGGCUGUUAGACCCUGCCCCAGGUUGUGGGAGCAACAUUGCUGCUUGCUGGAAGCUGCCUGUUACCUUGUGCCUGACCUAGCCUGGUUUCCUGCCUUGUGUCCUGCCUUGGCCCUGUUGGACUGACUCCUCGCGGAAUCCUUGGAUUUGGGAUCAGACCUGAACUGUGUUGCUCGGGUUAACCUCCAGGUCCAGCACAGUUGGGGAAACUUGUCCAAUCUCAGACUUUGUCUUCUACAUCAGCCUUGUCUAACCUGCUGCCCUCUAGAUGUUAUUGUAGAGAGAGAAGGUUUCCCUGGCGGUCAUUUUGCAAGGCAGGAAUCUCAACUCGAGAUUCCAUGGCAGAUGGGCAUCCAAUCUCUGCUUAAAAACCUCCCAGGAAGCAGCGUCCACCCCCUUCCAUCACAUUGGAAAAUAUGAUGCCGCAUGAUUCCAAGUCAGACUCACGGGUCCCUUCAGCUGAGCAUUGCUUACACUGACUUGCAGCAACCCUCCAAGGGCUUCAGGUGGGGCGUUUUCCCGGCCCUACCUGGAGAUGCCAGGAUUUGAACCUGGGACUGGUGUUCUGCCACUGGGCUACUGCCCUUCCAACCCCAUCCCUGGCCAGCAGACAUGCUGGGUGAUGUUGUUGGGAGUUGUAGCCCAGAACAUCUGGCAGGCGCCACAUUGGGGCAGCCUGUACAUGUUACCAGGAGAUGGGAGAGACUCCGGGUUUCUCCUUUCGGUGGCAGUCCACACGUCCCCUUGUACCGGUUCCUUCUGGCCUCAGCUUGCCCAUCAGGAAAAUGGGCUCGCGAGUGACCUACCUGGCUCGGCUGUGGGAAAGGCACAUGCAGCAAGGAUUCCCAAAGCACACCAAGUGCUACAGGAACUAAAAGCCUUAAUCAAACUCUUGUCAACACCCCCUGCUUCCUCCACAGCCUUCCAUGGAACUACAUUUUCCCGGGUUAUUCUGGGUCAUUAACCUAAGGGGGAGUUGGAGGGAAGUUUAAAUAAAAGAGGUUUUGCAAAAACACGCUCGGCUUUGGCCUGCAGUUCCGUUUGAGGCCGGUUUCCCGGGAUCUACAGGGGAGUGACCCUGGGCUAAUGGAGGAGAUCUCCGAUGUGCGCACGAACACUCAACAGGCACACUUGGAGCACUCCUCUCUGUUGGUGGCCGGCUCUGAAGCAGCCCUUUCAGAUGGGCGAGGAGGCGGCCGUGGCCAGGCCAGCCCAGCCCAGAUGGUCUUCAUUAGUCCAUCUCCUUCCCCUCUUCCUUUGGGGGGGGUGGGAUGCAAGAGCCUUGCUCUCUCCUUCCCCUUCCACUCCUCCCCGUUCCCCUUCCAGACCCUUCGGCAGCAGCGCAGGAGGGCAAAGAGGUUAGCACAAAGUGGUUUGCACAAUGCUGUCUUCUUAUUCUCCUCCUCCUCCUCCUCCUCCGGACCAGCUGCCCAUCUGGGGAUGUUCCUCCUGGAAUGCCGGCAGUUUGCUUCCUGCCCGCCCAGAGCCUAGAGGAUCUCUGAGUGCGCAGGCCGGAAAAGGCAGUUUCCUGUCCACAUUAUCAGCUUCCCACAGCCGUCCCUGGCGCAGUGGGGUUCAAGUCCUUGGGGUUGUUUUUGGUGUGUGGUUUUUUUGCUGGGGGGGGUCUGCAAGGCUGCCCUUGUGGGGACAAGGCAUUGCUUGUUCUAGACCAUCAUGCAGCCUUUCUCAACCUCGGGUCCCCAGAUGUUGUUGAACUACAACUCCCAUCAUCCCUAGCUAGAAAGGCCAGAGCCCAGGGACGAUGGGAGUUGUAGUCCAACAACAUCUGGGGACCCGAGGUUGAGAAACGCUGCAAACCUCAGCUAACUCCAAGACAUAGCUGUCAACUUUUCCCUUUUUUUAAGGGAAAGUCCCUUAUUCCGAAUAGGAUUCCUCGCAAGAAAAGGGAAAAGUUGACAGCUAUGCUCCAAGAGCACGCAGGGGGACAAGGCCUUCCUAAGCAGGGUCGUGAGGUGCAACUUCUGUUCAAAAAGUCAGAGCAGAGACGUCUCAGGGGUGCCAAGGCAGCGAGUGGUUUGUGGGUGGCGCAAGCAGAUUGGAAGCCGAGAAGCCGUUCUGCAGAAGGAGACGGGCACAGGGUUGGCAGCCUGGCAAAAUCCUUAUCGCAAAGGUUUGGGAUUUCUCAGUCAGGGGUGUGGGGGCGAUCUUGGGGGCUUGGGAAGGUGCUCUCCCCAGCACUGUGGGGUCAAGAUUUUGGCUCGCUGGGGAAGGUUACAGAACCAGUCUGGGCAGCUGGGGAGAGGACGGUCACAGCGGGGAAACCGCAGUUCAGGCAAGCCGCAGCCACCCCAGAAACCAGUUCCCUUAAAGUUUGCACGGUGGAAUCGGAGGCAAAAAACAAGGCGUAGCAAAGGU